GAAAAUCUCUCAUCAAAUUAAUUUUUGGUGGAUGUUGAGUGCUGCUGCUAUCUAGCUCACUUUAAAUAUAUAAGUUCUUUCUACUAUGUUGUUGGAUUGACUUGGUGUAAUAUCUUUUUCAUCAAGGAAAGUAGCAAUACUUGCCAAUAAUAAUGGAAUGAGGACUCUUAAACAAUUGAUUUUAUUAUCAACAACCUAUUUAUUU
rnacentral:misc_RNA from 1 species